AGUUUCUUUCGUUUUAUAAGGUGAUAAUAGAUGAACAACAAUUUCUGUUUUAUAUUAUUUUAUUGAAUUAGGUAUGAUCCAUUCCGUUCUAUUUCUAUUAUUAUGUUCGCGCACAAUUCAACAAACUAAUAUAAAACAGAAAUUAUUGCUCG